rnacentral:snRNA from 10 species
GGAUGUGAGGGCGAUCUGGCUGCGACAUCUGUCACGCCAUUGAUUGCCAGGGUUGAUUCGGUUGAUCUUGCUGGCUAGACGGGUGUCCCCUUCCUCCCUCACUGCUCCACAUGCGUCCCUCCCAAAGCUGCAUGCUCCAUUGACCAUCCCCAACAGAGGAGGACCGGUCUUCGGUCAAGGGUAUAUGAGUAGCUGCACUCCCCUGCUAGAACCUCCAAACAAGCUCUCAAGGUCCAAAUGACACUGGGGGUUAGGGCUUCAACACAGGAAUUUGGGGUGCACAAUUCAACCCAUAAGCUAUGGCCUCUCGUU